rnacentral:rRNA from 1 species
AGUGAACGCUAGCGGUGCGCCUAACACAUGCAAGUCGAGCGGCCUUCGGGCAGCGGCGAACGGCUGAGUAACACGUGGGAACCUACCUUGAACUCAGGGAUAACUCCUCGAAAGAGGGGCUAAUACCGGAUGUCCCGGCAACGGGAAAGAUUUUUCGGUUCAAGAGGGGCCUACGGCCUAUCAGGUAGUUGGUGGGAUAAUAGCCUACCAAGCCUAUGACGGGUAACUGGUCUGAGAGGACGACCAGUCAGAAUGGGACUGAGACACGGCCCAUACUCCUACGGGAGGCAGCAGUGAGGAAUCUUCCACAAUGGGGGCAACCCUGAUGGAGCGACACCGCGUGAAGGAUGACACCCCUUUGGGGCGUAAACUUCUGUUAUGAGGGAAGAAAUUUUUGACGGUACCUCAUGAGAAAGCACCGGCUAAUUCCG